AAGCUUAGUGGCGAACGGGUGAGUAACACGUGAAGAACCUGCCCUUCAGUGGGGGACAACAGUUGGAAACGACUGCUAAUACCGCAUAAGACCACAGUACCGCAUGGUACAGUGAUCAAAGGAUUUAUUCGCUGAAGGAUGGCUUCGCGUCCGAUUAGGUAGUUGGUGAGGUAACGGCCCACCAAGCCUACGAUCGGUAGCCGGACUGAGAGGUUGAUCGGCCACAUUGGGACUGAGACACGGCCCAGACUCCUACGGGAGGCAGCAGUGGGGAAUAUUGCACAAUGGAGGAAACUCUGAUGCAGCGACGCCGCGUGAGGGAAGAAGGUCUUCGGAUUGUAAACCUCUGUCUUCAGGGACGAUAAUGACGGUACCUGAGGAGGAAGCACCGGCGAACUACGUGCCAGCAGCCGCGGUAAAACGUAGGGUGCAAGCGUUGUCCGGAAUUACUGGGUGUAAAGGGAGCGCAGGCGGGAAGGUAAGUUGGAUGUUUAAUCUACGGGCUCAACCCGUAUCAGCAUUCAAAACUAUUUUUCUUGAGUAGUGCAGAGGUAGGCGGAAUUCCCGGUGUAGCGGUGGAAUGCGUAGAUAUCGGGAGGAACACCAGUGGCGAAGGCGGCCUACUGGGCACUAACUGACGCUGAGGCUCGAAAGCAUGGGUAGCAAACAGGAUUAGAUACCCUGGUAGUCCAUGCCGUAAACGAUGAUUACUAGGUGUGGGAGGAUUGACCCCUUCCGUGCCGCAGUUAACACAAUAAGUAAUCCACCUGGGGAGUACGACCGCAAGGUUGAAA
rnacentral:rRNA from 1 species